rnacentral:tRNA from 1 species
GCCUUUGUGGUGUAAUGGUUAGCACACUCGGCGCGUAUUGGAGAGGUCCAGGUUCGAGUCCUGGCGAGGGCA